UACAGAGACUGCAAGCGUUAUUCGGAUUCACUGGGCGUAAAGCGCGUGUAGGCUGCUUCGCAAGUCGGAUGUGAAAGCCCUGGGCUCAACCCAGGAAGUGCAUUCGAAACUGCAGAGCUGGAGUCCUGGAGAGGAAGGCGGAAUUCUCGGUGUAGAGGUGAAAUUCGUAGAUAUCGAGAGGAACACCGGUGGCGAAGGCGGCCUUCUGGACAGUGACUGACGCUGAGACGCGAAAGCGUGGGGAGCAAACAGG
rnacentral:rRNA from 1 species